UACGAAGGGGGCGAGCGUUGUUCGGAUUUACUGGGCGUAAAGGGCGCGUAGGCGGCGGGUCAAGUCGAGUGUGAAAGCCCCGGGCUCAACCUGGGAAUUGCGCUCGAGACUGGUCUGCUUGAGUUCGGGAGAGGAGCGUGGAAUUCCCAGUGUAGAGGUGAAAUUCGUAGAUAUUGGGAAGAACACCGGUGGCGAAGGCGGCGCUCUGGACCGAGACGUGACGCAUGAGGCGGCGAAAAGCGUGGGGAGCAACAGG
rnacentral:rRNA from 1 species